rnacentral:sRNA from 1 species
AAGGAUCAUUCACAAUUGCUUUUUUUUUCUGACUGUGCAAACAGUUGGAAAAGAAGAAUUGGAUUCACCCAGUCUAUUGAAACGAUUCCUGGGUUACCAAAGAAUGGAUCUUGUAAUUAAAACAUUUGAUUUUCAAAUAAUACCAAUUGAUUUUAUUGAAAAAAAAAAUGAGCUUUGUCUCUUUUUUUUUUAAACAACUUUAAGCAAUGGAUCUCUUGGCUCUCGCAUCGAUGAAGAGCGUAGCAAAUUGCGAUAAUUAGUGCGAUCUGCAUUCUGCGAAUCAUCGAGUUCUUGAACGCACCUUGCACCCUUUGGCUUGUCCUUGGGGUAUGCUUGUUUCAGUACAACUACAAACCCACAAAUGUCAUUUUUGAAUUGAAAUGACCAUUGGGAUUGGGAUGUCAAAAGGAAUUUGGAAUUAAUCCAAUUUCCCUUUCAUCCUGAAAAUGAAUCCAUUGGGAUUGAAAGGUUAUUUGCUUUUCGUUUGUUACUUUGCAUUAAAUAUUCUUGAUUGAAUAGCAUUGGUUCUCGACAACAAAUUCAAAAAACUCGUUGUCUGCGAUCAAGUAGGAUUACCCGCUGAACUUAA